rnacentral:rRNA from 1 species
UACGAAGGGGGCGAGCGUUGUUCGGAAUUACUGGGCGUAAAGGGCGCGUAGGCGGCCGAUCAAGUCAGACGUGAAAGUCCUGGGCUUAACCUGGGGACUGCAUUUGAUACGUGGUUGCUUGAGUGGGGAAGAGGGUCGUGGAAUUCCCAGUGUAGAGGUGAAAUGCGUAGAUAUCAGGAGGAACACCGGUGGUGUAGACGGCUUUCUGGACCGUAACUGACGCUGAGACACGAAAGCGUGGGUAGCAAACAGG